AACGAACGCUGGCGGCAGGCCUAACACAUGCAAGUCGAGCGGACCCUUCGGGGUUAGCGGCGGACGGGUGAGUAACGCGUGGGAAUAUGCCCUUCUCUACGGAAUAGUCCUGGGAAACUGGGGGUAAUACCGUAUACGCCCUUUGGGGGAAAGAUUUAUCGGUUAAGGAUUAGCCCGCGUUGGAUUAGGUAGUUGGUUGGGUAAUGGCCUACCAAGCCGACGAUCCAUAGCUGGUUUGAGAGGAUGAUCAGCCACACUGGGACUGAGACACGGCCCAGACUCCUACGGGAGGCAGCAGUGGGGAAUCUUAGACAAUGGGGGCAACCCUGAACUAGCCAUGCCGCGUGAGUGAUGAAGGCCUUAGGGUUGUAAAGCUCUUUCAGCUGGGAAGAUAAUGACGGUACCAGCAGAAGAAGCCCCGGCUAACUCCGUG
rnacentral:rRNA from 1 species